UAUAAAUGUAAUUAUAAAAACUAAAUGAUUAAUAGUUAUGUUCUUUAAAGUUAAAUAAUUUGGCGGUAUUUUAGUCUUUUCAGAGGAACCUGUUCUGUAAAUGAUAAUCCACGAUAAUAGUGUCUUAAAUUAGAAAUUUAUAUAUCAUCGUUAUUAAAUAUUUUUUUAGAAUUUAAUAUUUAGUAAAUUUAAUUAUAUUUUAAUUCAGAUCAUGGUAUAGUAAAUAUUUAAGUUGAAAUGGGUUACUAAUAUUAAUAAAUUUGGAUUUUAAAUUUAAAAUUUAAAUGAAAUUGGAUUUGAAAGUAAUUAUUUUUAUUUAAAAAUAAUGAUUUAGCUCUAAAAUAUGU
rnacentral:rRNA from 1 species